rnacentral:rRNA from 1 species
GAGUUUGAUCAUGGCUCAGGAUGAACGCUAGCGGCAGGCCUAACACAUGCAAGUCGAGGGGCAGCAUAAAGGUAGCAAUACUUUGGUGGCGACCGGCGCACGGGUGAGUAACACGUAUGCAACCUACCUGUAAGCGGGGAAUAACCCGGAGAAAUUCGGACUAAUACCGCAUAAAACUGAGUUACUGCAUGGUAAUUCAUUUAAACAUUUAUGGCUUACAGAUGGGCAUGCGUAUGAUUAGCUAGUUGGUGAGGUAACGGCUCACCAAGGCAACGAUCAUUAGGGGUUCUGAGAGGAAGGUCCCCCACACUGGUACUGAGACACGGACCAGACUCCUACGGGAGGCAGCAGUGAGGAAUAUUGGUCAAUGGGCGAGAGCCUGAACCAGCCAAGUCGCGUGAAGGAAGAAGGUUCUAUGGAUUGUAAACUUCUUUUGUAAGGGAAUAAAAAGAGUUACGUGUAACUUAUUGUAUGUACUUUACGAAUAAGGAUCGGCUAACUCCGUGCCAGCAGCCGCGGUAAUACGGAGGAUCCAAGCGUUAUCCGGAUUUAUUGGGUUUAAAGGGUGCGUAGGCGGACCCUUAAGUCAGUGGUGAAAGUUUGCGGCUCAACCGUAAAAUUGCCAUUGAAACUGAGGGUCUUGAGUGUAAAUGAGGUAGGCGGAAUGUGUUGUGUAGCGGUGAAAUGCUUAGAUAUAACACAGAACACCAAUUGCGAAGGCAGCUUACUGGGAUACAACUGACGCUGAGGCACGAAAGCGUGGGGAUCAAACAGGAUUAGAUACCCUGGUAGUCCACGCAGUAAACGAUGAAUACUAGCUGUAUGCGAUAUACUGUAUGCGGCACAGCGAAAGCGUUAAGUAUUCCACCUGGGGAGUACGUUCGCAAGAAUGAAACUCAAAGGAAUUGAC